rnacentral:rRNA from 1 species
AUUGAACGCUGGCGGCAGGCUUAACACAUGCAAGUCGAGCGGGGGAAGGUAGCUUGCUACUGGACCUAGCGGCGGACGGGUGAGUAAUGCUUAGGAAUCUGCCUAUUGGUGGGGGACAACAUCUCGAAAGGGAUGCUAAUACCGCAUACGUCCUACGGGAGAAAGCAGGGGAUCUGCGGACCUUGCGAUAAUAGAUGAGCAUAAGUCGGAUUAGCUAGUUGGUGGGGUAAAGGCCUACCAAGGCGACGAUCUGUAGCGGGUCUGAGAGGAUGAUCCGCCACACUGGGACUGAGACACGGCCCAGACUCCUACGGGAGGCAGCAGUGGGGAAUAUUGGACAAUGGGGGGAACCCUGAUCCAGCCAUGCCGCGUGUGUGAAGAAGGCCUUAUGGUUGUAAAGCACUUUAAGCGAGGAGGAGGCUACUUUAGUUAAUACCUAGAGAUAGUGGACGUUACUCGCAGAAUAAGCACCGGCUAACUCUGUGCCAGCAGCCGCGGUAA